rnacentral:rRNA from 1 species
UAGGGAAUCUUCGGCAAUGGGGGGAACCCUGACCGAGCAACGCCGCGUGAGUGAAGAAGGUUUUCGGAUCGUAAAGCUCUGUUGUUAAGGAAGAACGAGGGUGAGAAUGGAAAGUUCAUGCUGUGACGGUACCUAACCAGAAAGCCACGGCUAACUACGUGCCAGCAGCCGCGGUAAUACGUAGGUGGCAAGCGUUGUCCGGAAUUAUUGGGCGUAAAGCGCGCGCAGGUGGUUUAGAAAGUCUGAUGGGAAAGCCCACGGCUCAACCGGGGAGGGUCAUUGGAAACUAAUAAACUUGGGGGCAGGAGAGAAAAGUGGAAUUCCCAGGGUAGCGGUGAAAUGGGUAGGGGUUAGGAGGAAAAACGGUGGCGAAAGCGGCUUUUUGGCCUGCAACUGACACUGAGGCGCAAAAGGGUGGGGAGCAAACAGG